rnacentral:sRNA from 1 species
GUUCCAUUGCUGGCGAGGAGCUGCGUUCUUUUGGAGGAGAAGAGGCGCUCUGAGUUUUAGAAUUUUCAGCUUUUCUGCUUUGCUGCAGGUCUGUUGGAGUUUGCUGGAGGUCCACUCCAGACCCUGUUUGCCUGGGUAUCACCAGCGGAGGCUGCAGAACAGCAAAUAUUGCAGAACGGCAGAUGUUGCUGCCUGAUCGUUCUUCUGGAAGCUUUGUCUCAGAGGGGCACCCGGCUGUAUGAGGGACUCAGGGUGCUUCCACAAAUAUUAGAAGGUGAAGAGGAGCCAGUGUCUGUAGAUUACAUGGUGAGAGAGGAAGCAAAGGGAGGAAGAGGUGCCAGGCUCUUUUCAACAACCAGUUCUCUUAGGAACUAUGAGUGAAAACUCAUUCACUUCCACGAGAAUGGCACCAAGCCAUUUUUAGGGAUCUGCCUCUACUAUCCAGUCACCUCCUACCAGGCCCCCCUCCAACAUUGGGAAUCAGAUUUUAACAUGAGAUUUGGUGGAUGAUAUCCAAAUGAUAUCCAUCUAAAUCAUAGACACCUUCAGGAGACAUUUGACAGUGUUUGGAGACGUUUUUGCUUGUCACAACUGGAAGUGGUGCUACUGGCAUCUAGUGUCUAGAGGCCAGAAGGGAUGUUGGUAAAUAUCUUACAAUGCACAGGACAGAGGACAGCCCCACUCUGCCACUCAACACAGACUCAUCCAGUCCCAAGUGCCAGUAGUGCUAAGGCUACUUUGAAGUUUGAGAAAAUGAAAGCCAGCCUGGGCAACAUGAUUUAUGGUGGAUUAUUUUCUGAAGAUCAGUGUUGGUACAGAUGCAAAGUACUGAAAAUCAUCAGCGUUGAAAAGUGUCUGGUGAGGUACAUUGACUAUGGAAAUACUGAAAUUCUAAAUCGAUCUGAUAUAGUUGAAAUUCCUUUGGAGCUGCAGUUUUCUAGUGUUGCCAAAAAGUAUAAACUUUGGGGACUACACAUUCCUUCUGAUCAAGAAGUUACCCAGUUUGAUCAGGGCACAACCUUUUUGGGGAGCUUGAUUUUUGAAAAGGAAAUAAAAAUGAGAAUUAAAGCAACCUCUGAAGAUGGAACAGUUAUUGCUCAGGCUGAGUAUGGCAGUGUGGAUAUAGGGGAAGAGGUGCUUAAGAAAGGAUUUGCAGAGAAAUGCAGACUUGCUUCCAGAACUGACAUCUGUGAGGAAAAAAAAUUGGAUCCUGGUCAACUUGUUCUCAGGAACCUCAAAAGCCCCAUUCCUUUGUGGGGGCAUAGAUCAAACCAGUCAACCUUCAGCAGGCCCAAGGGGCACUUAAGUGAGAAAAUGACUCUUGACUUGAAGGAUGAAAAUGAUGCAGGCAAUCUUAUAACAUUUCCAAAGGAAAGUUUGGCUGUUGGUGACUUUAAUUUAGGGUCUAACGUCAGCCUGGAAAAAAUUAAGCAGGACCAGAAACUGAUUGAAGAAAAUGAAAAACUUAAAACAGAGAAGGACGCUCUUCUCGAAAGUUAUAAGGCGUUAGAAUUGAAAGUAGAGCAGAUUGCCCAGGAGCUGCAGCAAGAGAAGGCAGCUGCUGUGGAUUUGACUAACCACUUAGAAAACACUCUGAAGACCUGUAUAGAUACCAGAAUGAAAAAUCUGGCAGCUAAGAUGGAAAUACUGAAAGAAAUGAGGCAUGUCGACAUCAGUGUCCGUUUCGGAAAAGACCUUUCAGAUGCUAUACAAGUGUUGGAUGAAGGGUGCUUUACUACUCCAGCUUCUUUGAAUGGAUUAGAGAUAAUAUGGGCAGAAUACAGUCUGGCUCAGGAGAAUAUUAAAACUUGUGAAUAUGUGAGUGAAGGGAAUAUUUUGAUUGCCCAAAGAAAUGAAAUGCAGCAGAAGCUGUACAUGUCAGUAGAAGAUUUUAUUCUGGAAGUUGAUGAGUCAUCUCUUAAUAAACGCUUAAAAACAUUGCAGGAUUUGUCAGUCUCUUUAGAAGCAGUGUAUGGACAAGCCAAAGAAGGAGCAAAUUCUGAUGAAAUACUUAAAAAAUUUUAUGACUGGAAGUGUGAUAAAAGAGAGGAGUUCACCGAUGUUAGAAGUGAAACAGACGCUUCUCUGCACCGUCUUGUAGCAUGGUUCCAAAGAACCUUAAAGGUUUUUGACCUAUCUGUGGAAGGAUCACUGAUUUCAGAAGACGCAAUGGAUAAUAUUGAUGAAAUCCUAGAGAAGACUGAGUCAAGUGUCUGCAAAGAGCUGGAGAUAGCUCUGGUUGAUCAAGGUGAUGCAGACAAGGAGAUAAUUUCAAAUACAUAUAGUCAAGUACUGCAAAAGAUUCAUUCAGAGGAAAGGCUCAUUGCCACAGUACAAGCUAAGUACAAGGACAGUAUUGAGUUUAAAAAGCAGCUUAUUGAAUAUUUAAAUAAGAGUCCCAGUGUGGAUCACUUGCUAUCCAUUAAGAAGACAUUGAAAAGCUUAAAAGCUCUACUCAGAUGGAAAUUGGUUGAAAAGAAUAAUUUGGAAGAGUCAGAUGAUCCUGAUGGCUCUCAAAUUGAGAAAAUAAAAGAAGAAAUAACUCAGCUGCGCAAUAAUGUCUUUCAGGAAAUUUAUCAUGAGAGAGAGGAAUAUGAGAUGCUAACUAGUUUGGCACAGAAAUGGUUCCCUGAGCUGCCUCUGCUUCAUCCUGAAAUAGGAUUACUCAAAUACAUGAACUCUGGUGGUCUCCUUACAAUGAGCUUGGAACGAGAUCUUCUUGAUGCUGAGCCCAUGAAGGAACUUAGCAGCAAGCGCCCUUUGGUACGUUCUGAGGUUAAUGGGCAGAUAAUUCUGUUAAAGGGCUAUUCUGUGGAUGUUGACACAGAAGCCAAGGUGAUUGAGAGAGCAGCCACCUACCAUAGAGCUUGGAGAGAAGCUGAAGGAGACUCAGGGUUACUACCAUUGAUAUUCCUGUUUUUAUGUAAGUCUGAUCCUAUGGCUUAUCUGAUGGUCCCAUACUACCCUAGGGCAAACCUGAAUGCUGUUCAAGCCAACAUGCCUUUAAAUUCAGAAGAAACUUUAAAGGUCAUGAAAGGUGUUGCCCAGGGCCUGCAUACAUUGCAUAAGGCUGACAUAAUUCAUGGAUCACUUCAUCAGAACAAUGUAUUUGCUUUAAACCGUGAACAAGGAAUUGUUGGAGAUUUUGACUUCACCAAAUCUGUGAGUCAGCGAGCCUCGGUGAACAUGAUGGUUGGUGACUUGAGUUUGAUCUCACCUGAGUUGAAAAUGGGAAAACCUGCUUCUCCAGGUUCAGACUUAUAUGCUUAUGGCUGCCUCUUAUUAUGGCUUUCUGUUCAAAAUCAGGAGUUUGAGAUAAAUAAAGAUGGAAUCCCGAAAGUGGAUCAGUUUCAUCUGGAUGAUAAAGUCAAAUCCCUCCUCUGUAGCUUGAUAUAUUAUAGAAGUUCAAUGACUGCUGAACAAGUUUUAAAUGCUGAAUGUUUCUUGAUGCCAAAGGAGAAAUCAGUUCCAAACCCAGAAAAAGAUACUGAAUACACCCUAUAUAAAAAGGAAGAAGAAAUAAAGACGGAGAACUUGGAUAAAUGUAUGGAGAAGACAAGAAAUGGUGAAGCCAACUUUGAUUGUUAAAUUAUUAUUGUUGUUGUUGCAGAGGUUCUUUUUAAAAACUUUGUUUAGUUUGGUUAAUACACAGAAAUAUCUAGAAAUGUUCUGGGACUAGUUGAGUUGUAUCUUUAGUAUUCAGGUUGUGAAAAAUAAAGAUGUUUGGCUAUGCACAAAA